CUGUGACCUUGUUCUCAUAAUUGGGGGCUGCAGGACAGAGAGCAAAGAUGAGACAGGAGGGCUUCAAAACUUCUAGAGCCAUGCUGAGGAACUAUCCAUAAGUCACUA